rnacentral:rRNA from 1 species
UACAGAGGGGGCAAGCGUUGUUCGGAAUUACUGGGCGUAAAGGGCGCGUAGGCGGCCUUCUAAGUCGAACGUGAAAUCCCCGGGCUCAACCCGGGAACUGCGUCCGAUACUGGAAGGCUCGAAUCCGGGAGAGGGAUGUGGAAUUCCAGGUGUAGCGGUGAAAUGCGUAGAUAUCUGGAGGAACACCGGUGGCGAAGGCGACAUCCUGGACCGGUAUUGACGCUGAGGCGCGAAAGCCAGGGGAGCAAACGGG